UACGUAGGGUCCAAGCGUUAUCCGGAAUCACUGGGCGUAAAGCGUUUGUAGGCUGAGGUUUAAGUGAGAUGCGAAAUCUUCCCGCUCAACGGGAUAGACUGUAUCUCAUACUGGAUCUCUAGAAGAUAGCAGAGGCAAGUGGAAUUAGUAGUGUAGCGGUAAAAUGCGUAGAUAUUACUAGGAACACCAAUGGCGAAGGCAGCUUGCUGGGCUAUUCUUGACGCUGAGAAACGAAAGCGUGGGGAGCGAACAGG
rnacentral:rRNA from 1 species